rnacentral:lncRNA from 1 species
UCAAACAUAUUGGCCAUCAUCGGCCGCCACCACCCUUUUCCAAUGCACGGGUGCUCGUUGAUUAGAAGUUCAGUAAUAAUAUUUGUUUGUUUGGUACGCACAUUACAUACAGAAGUUAAAAAUCAACAGAACCUCUGACAUCGAUCGAUCUCAUCUCAUAUGAGUGCCCUAUGCUAAUACCCAGCAUAGGAAUUAGGAUAGAAUUACAUUUGACGUUGGUGAAGAGAAGUAGGAACAAUAUUAUUGUGGCGGUAGGAGUCCCGGCUCUGGACCGAUGACUUUGUGGUGACGAUGACAAGUAGAUAGCUGAAACUAAGGGCAAGCAGUGUUGGGCACCACGCCAGUGGUGCAGCCAGUGUAGCAGGUCGCUCCACAUGGCUGUAUGACCUUGGCCUCGCAGAGCUCCUUCGUUGGGCACACGAAGGUGGUGAUGCUCCUGCAGGUGGCUUGAGCGAAGAGCCUGCACGCCGUGCCACAAUCCUCGCGGCAAUCCUGCAUCGUGUCCGCCAUCGCUGGCAGGCCAACAGACAUCAGGAGCAGCGCGACGCAGAUUGCGCCGACGCCUGCGUGCAUCUUAGCAAGCGGUGCUCCUGGGGCGGGGCCGGUGGACGCCAUUGAUGAACGGAGAAGAGGAGUAGCACUACUGCUGUAGCAGGAGACGAUGGCAGUCUGGAGAUAGACGAGCUUGCUAUCCGGUGAUGCAACUUACUAUAUGGUGGUGCCCAUCUGAUGAUGGGCCUGCUACGAUGCAUUUUAUUUGCAGAGAACGUGGGCAAGAUUGGAACACGAAGUUUUGCAAGUUGCAUGGCCGCUGUCGUGCGGUACAAGUUUGGUGUAGAAAUAUUUAUUGAUAUACAUAAAUUUAUGAAUAAUUUUUAAUUGCAUGUAUUACAAAUUUGCAUAUUAAAAGCGAUGAACAACAAUGAGAACAAUACUGAAUUCGCCAAGGAGGAUUCUGAUUCCGACGACGAUUGUGUAUCGUAUUCUACUCCACCUUAGUACGAACCAAGCCCACCUAGGACUCGUAGGUGUCUAGAUGAAGAUGAUCCGGAUCAUCAGGUACCUGCAUGCACAUUCAUAUACUAGUUGAUGAUGCGUUUGUUGUUUACAUGAAGAUAAUAAACUCCAACUAUUGUUUUCUCUAUAGAACGAUGAUCAAUCUUCGAUUUAUUUGCCACCACGAUGUCGUAGAACAUCUACUCUGCAUGAAGGUGAGGUAGCUACCUCUGUACCACAGCCUUCGGCUACAACUGCUUCCACUAGUAAUCUGAAAGGCAACAUGGGAAAAGAAGCCGAAACCAAAUCCCUGAAAAAGGUUCAUUCAAUGCGAGAUUUGUCAUGAGUAUGGAGCAUUCUUUGAUAAAGAUGGCGUGUUGAUGGCGGACGAAUGCAAAGGUCUUCGUAGAUGGACUAGUUUUAAUAUUACCGUGGCAAAGAAUAGCUCUAUUCCAAAUAUUGAAUUUUGUGAAUUAUUUAUUAUUCAAGAUGGUUGAAUAAUGUGAAUUAUCUAUUAGGUACGAUAUAGUUUUUAAUAAUGUGAAUUAUUUAUUAUUUAAGUUUGUUGUUACAUCGUUGGAGAUACAUAUUUAAAUUUGAUGGUCAAAAACUAGCGGGAAAUAGAAAUAAUAUAUUGAAUGGAAAAACACAUAUUCCUAGUGGGUGGCACCACCUGUCAGCACAGAAACCAUAUGUGUGCCAUGCUGGCGGGUGGCUAACGCCGCCCACCAGCACAGAUGCCAUUUAUGCUGGCUCAAGAUUGCUGGCGGGUGCUCGACCCGCCAGCACAGACCACUCUUACCCACCAGCACAGAUAUUUUGUGACCCUAGUGGUGAUGAUGCGAUUUAUAGGGACCAAAUGCAGCAAUAUUCGAAUUCACAAUUAUGCAAGUCGCAGGCAGCCAGGUCGAUCGGCCUCACGCAAUACCUAGUUGACUUGAGAACAUGAACGAAUAUACAAUUUAGCAUGUGCUCCCGUUAUUCCUGGAUCCUGAUAAGGACGGCCACAUAACAGAAACUAUACUUAUUUUAUAUCAUCAACCGGUCAAUGGGGGCAAAGGGGAUAUGAAAACGGGUAAACACUCGCAUGUCAUCAUCGAUCAAAUUCUUAAACAGUGCAGUUAAUGUGCACUAAAUUACAGACAAUCUUGUGGGUUUGGAGCAUGUGAGAUCAUGAUAAAGUACACCGAGAACUGUUUUUGAAACCACAUGGUAUCAUGCCACUCAAAUCCUUGCUACGAAAAAUAAAGACCCACCAUUAUCUAAUCGUUAUUGUAAGGACUGUGAUUAAUUAUUUUUGUUAACCUUGUAAAAGUCUAAUUAAAGUCCACUGCACCCUUGCGCUUUUAAUAUGAUGGGUGCAUGUGAGGUCUCCAUGUGAACGAAGAGGCGGUGCACUGGAAACUUAUCCAGACUCCCAAAUUAAUCACCAUAGAUCCAAUCCAAUGGUAAUCUAAGCUACACAGCACACAUCAUAGCAUAAUUAGUGAUGUUAAUAACGUGCAUAAGCAAGAAUCUAGCUGGAGACUAAACUCCGUGUAAUUAUAAUAGUCGUGCACGCUUAGUCCGAUCCUGAUGGGCGGCUCCGUAGAUUGUGACGGCAUUUGGAGGGGAGAGGUGAAGGAGGAAGCUACAAAAGGGAAACAAGAAGAAAAGAAGAAGGAAUGGUAUAAGCCUUGCAUUUGUAAAUACGGAUCUAAUACUCCCUCCGCCCUAAAAUAGAAAGGAUUAUGAGUUUGAUAAAAUUUAUCAGAAAUAACAAUAAUAUUUACGAUAUCACAUGAGCAUAAUUAUUAGACCAUUUUGAAAUAUAUUUUCAUAGUUCAAUAACUUGAUGUGGUAGGUGUUAAUAUACUUCUCUAUAAACUUAUUGAAACUCAUAAUAGUUUAACUUCAAAUAAAUUCAGUAUCCCUUUAUAUUUUAGGGUGGAGAGAGUACAUGAUUACAAAUUGGCACAUAUUGAUGCAAACUUGGGGACACAUAUUAUUCUUCCAAAACUAUAAAAUGCAUGAAUUAUUCUUUAAUUCUUAAGAGAUGAAAGAAAGCCAUAUGAUCUGAAGAGGUACAACAUAUACAUAUUGGCAAGUUCGAAUCAGUUAGCUAGGUUCAUGGUAUUGAAAUAGUCACCGGUAGAAAACUCGCUUUCAGUCUCGGUUGGUAGGGGCCAUAUCUCUCUAAAAAUCAUCCGUGAUAUAAUUUUGGAGACUAAAACGGGUCUUUAGUCCCAGGUCAUUCAACCGGGACUAAAGACCCCCUUUAGUCCCGGUUGGUAAAACCAACCGCUGCCACGCCAGGCGCGGGACGGGCCCCUUUAGUCCCUGUUGGUGGGUGCCCCUUUAAUGCAUGAAAUUACAGGCGCGCGCCUGCAUGGCGCAUGUAAUUUCAUGCAUGCAUCAUGUACCCUUUUGUAGUUAAGACUUUUCUUUAAGUAAUAAAAUCAAACUAGUAUUUAUACAAUUACUAUAUAUACAAUUCUUAGCAUACUGUACAAAUCUUAGCAUAUUAUACAAAUCAAACUAUAGUAUUUUUAUAUAUAUAUAUAUAUAUACAAAAAUUUUUGUAGAGGUGUUGCUCGGUGCGUCUAAUUUUCGUCCAUCGUAAUAAAAUUCUCCUUGUAGAUUUACCACCUCGUCCACUAGGAUUCCUACGAGACCUUCACAUAUUGCCCCUAUUCUUUUCUUCUCCAAGAGUUUUAGUUGAAUAUUAAGCAUUUGUAAUUUGAAAAUAUGUGAAUGUUACACAAAUAAUCAAAUAAGCAUCUGUACGUGUGGAUCCUGGAUUCAAAGUGCUGCCACCACUCACUAAGAAAGAGGUUGGAAGACAAAGGAAACUCAGAAAACCUAGCUGCAUUGAGAACAAGGGAAGCAAGCCCAGAGGCAAAGGCAUGUGGCAGGUGAAGCGUCAAAAUUGCUUGGGUCCUGGCUGUAGGACGACAUCCCCAAAGUGCCCUCUCAAAGGAACAAAGAACAUGGAAUGUGUAUGCCUUUUUUGAACUAACUCGUACUUGCUUCAUAUUUUGAAAUUAUCUCAAUUUUACAUUUACUGGAAAAGUCAGGCCAAGAAAGGGAAGGCAGGUAGGCCUGCUGGUUGUACCAAAGGUGAUGCAGCUCCUAGUCCAUCCAAAAGGCAGAAGGUUCAUGUGCAAGAAAAUUCAGUGAAUAAUAGUCUUGGACUUGUGGAAGAACUAGAAGGCAUAAGUCAAAUCAACACGAGUCCCAGGCCUGUUACAAGAAGGUGAAUUUCUAUAAACCGAACAUUAGCUUGGAACUUGGAACACUAGUCUGUUUUUUUGCUAAACAUUUGUCUCCCUUUUUAGCCAAUUGCAAUUAACAACGAUGGAACUUGGAGGGACAAAUUAGAUCACUACAAGCCCUAGAGCAGUGACAAGAAGGUAAAAUGAUUCACUUUAUUUAACAUAUAUGUGCUUAUUAUCUUAGUUCAUGUACUAAAGCAUUCCAUUUUCCUAUGUGUUGACGCCUUUUCUGACCAACACACGAGUACGCUAGAUCGCGUAGGUCGCGAAUAGACCGAACAAUGGAGGUGUUGCAUAGGCCGGUCAGACCAGUCCAGCAACCCAAUUGUGGCGGAACCGCCCUAAUUAACUUAGUUAAAGCACAAUUAAGUUGCCUAACACGCGAUCAUGUGCUUUAAUCAAGUUAACUCGGCAGUCCAUCGGACUUCAUCUGAUAAACCACUCCACAGGACCGAGAAAGCAUAGCUCACACGAAGGUGAGUGGUUCCAGAGAAUACAAUAGAUCAUCCAAAUUAAACAAGUACCUUAAUUUAUUACAACAUCAGGUUCGAAAUUCAAACAUAGUUUGCAGAGUUCUUAAGCAGCGGAAAUAAACAGACGGAAGCUAGAGCCGAUGUCGGACGUCACGACGAGCCCGAUCAUGACAUCAAUGGUCCCUGUCCUCGCCGUCCGAGGAGGGAUCCUACUCAACCGUCCACCUAGGAGGAAGCUGGGGAGGCCAAGUGCCACUUGCAGCAAACUUAGAGACGUCAACAACACCUGAAAGAUGUGCCACAAGUAAGGCUGAGCAACUAUGCUCAACAAGACUUAACCGUCAGGUGGUAACUACUCCACCAACACCUAGACAUGCAAGGCUUUUUGGCUAAGGGGUUUAUUUUUACCAAAAACAACUAGUGUAGGUCCUUACUUUCCAUAUUUUAGCCACAAGUUCUACGUUCAAUUACCAAUCUAACUUAGCAGCUAUACUAAACAAGCAUAGUUUUCCAAGCAAUUAGUACAGAUAACCAUAUUAGAUCAUCAUCAUUUUUCAUUCUUACUCAGUGUAGCAUAGCGAUCAAGUAGUCUCAAACUGUGAGAGGCAGACGAAUCGAUUUGAAUUUCUUAACCAUGCAUGGCGAACCUAAUCUCACAACAUCCGCGCACCACGAAGUGUCGCUUCCUUUGUCGGCCGUCCCCAUCAAUCCCCAGACCCGUGUCAGGCCCACUUUCCUUGGUACAAGGCUCCACAGACCUAGCCUCUGCCAUUCUAUGAUCGCACUUGUCACCACAUGCGGCCGCAAGGGAACUUCAUUCCAGAGACAGUGGAUCGAAUCACUCACGUCCUGGUUCAAUCAGGUACUAGGCUUCCCCAUCCCAUACUAGGUAUGAGAUUAGUACUUUCAAACACUUGAUCACGAACACCAUCACUUUUCGACCUUAAUCUAAUUUCAUGUAGAUAGACGGGACAAUCCACCAACCACCAAAAUAGUUCACAGAGCCCUGCCCCAUCCAUCGUCCUUAUAGUUGUUGCAAAAAGAAAGAAGCAACUCGUGAGUGACAGGAAAUCACUCAACUUUUACCGAGUCCUACUUAAGCAUUGCAACUACUCGGCCUAUCAUACUAGUGUUCAGAUCAAAGGAAACUAAGUCAUGCAUCUACGGUUUCAAUCAACUCCUAGAAUGUAAAUGCACAAACAAGCAGUCACUUGUAUUGCAAGUAUUUAAAGAUAGGAAAAAUCAUGCUCCGGGGCUUGCCUUCAAGCGGGGCGGUAGCGAACUGGUCUUCGGCGUGCACGGGCUCGACUCCUGCAGGCGGCGGCUCAGCUACGGCUUCAUCUUCGGGCACUGGGCGCAGCUCGUACGUGCCGUCAGCGAUGUUCAACUCUACACGAGAUGCAAUGCAAGGGUAAGACGCUUAGACGGUGAUUUCAACAGUAUUUGCAUGGAUUUAAACCCCAAAAUUGUAGCAAAACUACAGGAAAAGGUACAAAACCCACUUGAUUGGAUUCUAUUUAGAACGAGGAUUCCAACCAAAGUGAUUUCACAUUUUUCUAAUUUUUCCUCGAUUUAAGAUGUAAUUUUCAGUUUCUGUCGAUUUCAUUCGAGUUAAAAGAGUCGGAUCGGGGAAACCUUAUGAUCUGACCCUUGGACUUAAGGAAUAACUCUACCAGGAUCCUCGGAUUUACACAGAGAAGUCCUUGGAAUUUUACACAGAUACCCUUGGUCAAAAGAAAAAGACACAACCGAGCCCUCGGGCGAGGCGGACAGCACUCAGGCGAGGCAGAUAGGGUUCGGUCGCUUUCGCAGAUGAUUCAGGGUCGGGAAGAGCUGGAAAGGGGUCGGCAGCUCACCUCCAGUCCUACUGAUGAGGUCUCGGGGUCACGAAGAAACAAGCUGAGGCAGAACGGGGAACAACGGCAGCUCGGGUCGGCGUCGCGGGAACUGGCGGCGUUUCAGCAGUGGUGGUGCUUCUGGUGGACAACAGGCAAGCUCUAGAGCUGCGCGAGAGGAUGGCGAAGCGGCUAGUGGGGUCGGCAAGGCGCGGGGUCGGGUGGAAGGGGGAGCUCCACGGAGAGCUCAGGCGGCGACGCUUGAGCGUGAAGCAGAGAAGUGUGCGGCGGCGGAACUUGGGCGCGUGGUGAGUGCGGUGGAGAAAAAACAGAGCAGGUAGUGCGGCAAUGGCGGUGGUGGCAAAGGGAACUCCGAUAAGAGGCUUUGGUGCCUUUUUAUAGAUGCGCGGAAGUGUUCAGAGGAAGGAAACAAGCUCGAGCGGGUGAGAGGGUAAGAUCGAGGGAGAAGGAAGUGCUCUGUCGCGGCGGCGGUUGGUCAGCGCCUCCAUUGGCAAGCUCGGACGAAACCUUGCCCUGGAUGGGCAGCAAGGAUUUGGGGCUGGGGGCAAAGCAGGUUUGCUGGGCACGCGGAUCUGCUAGGUCUGUGCGCGUGUGUGGUCGCGACCAUUAAUGGUGGCGGCGCCAUUGGCAGAUAGGAGGGAGGGAAGGGCACUGUAGGCGAGGGCGCGGCAGGCGAGGUGACAGGGCGAGCGGUGGGACGCGAGCACGCGCGGGACUAGCGGCUCUACCGGGGCAUGCUACUGGCGAGGCGGGGGAAGGAGCAGUCACUGCCUGUGCGGCGGUUGGCGAAGACGGUAGCGUCGCGGGGCGCGCGAGCGGGCAGCGCGACUGGGAUGUGACGGGAGGGUUGGAAGGCGUUGGGGCGCGCGGCCGGGGAUCCGGGUGGGGCGGAUGCGCAUGGGAGGCGAGGCGGCACCGGCGUGGCAGCGGCCGGUCUUCGGUCGCAGAGUGGCCGGGGCGAUGGCGAAGCUGAGGGCAGUGCGCCUGGCGUGGCUAGCGAGGACUCGAGCGGAACGAGAUGGGACAGAGUGGAGGACUCCAAGUCGUCAUCGCGCGCGACUGGGAAGCGAGGCACGUCGACCCAUCUUGUCGUGGCCGGUGACUGGGCGAGGAGGCGCUCGCCAGCGAGGUCACGCCACGCGGCGGCAGCGCUCUGGAGUGCGGCGCACGCGUGCUCUGGCGCUAUCUGGCCAACGGAUCCGCGAGAUCAUUUGUCAGGCCCAUCUUCCAACCUCUUGAUCUCCCGAUUUUCAAACUGCGCCACGUUGACUCCCUUUACAAGAGUUGUAGUACACAGACCAAGGUCCAACUUUUGUAAUUUGACUGAGUUCAAAAACAUGGUGGAUUUGGAGAUUCAAAGCUCCAAAGUUUGGAGGAACGCCGGUUUCCGGGACUCAGAGAAAAAUGGCGGUUUGGCUGGUUUUCAGGGUUCGGGGCUGAUUUGAGCUGCAGAUUUGGUAAGCUUCGGAGGUGAAUUGGACCAAGGUCCAAUUAGCAAAGUUGUUGUAGACACUUAGUUCUCCAACUUUUACAAAGAGACUUUCUGAUGUUCUGCUCAACUUUCAAAAGAUAAACCCGCCCUAAGGCGCCAAGUCGGGCUGUUUUCCAGACUUAGCCGGAAUUGCUAAGGAGGCUGAGCUGACCAAACUAGGGGACUUGACCUGGAUUUUGGGCGAAACAACACAGAUUGGUAUACCGGGUUUUUGAUGGGCUUCUUGUGAGGGGAAAAAGGGUACUUCCACUUGCCUGAAAGUUGCCAAAGGCUCUUCUUUAAGCCCAAAGGAAGAUGGUGAUGAUGCAAAUGACGAUGAUCAUGUUAUGAUGGAUGAUGAUUACGACCAUGAAGAUCAAAAUGGUGAUCAAACAUAUGUGCGUGUGGAACCACAGGUGGAUGAGGAACGUGAUGUUGAUAUGGAGGACAUGUUGCACCACAUUGAACCGGAAGUGUUGCUAGAGAGUGCUAAAGGGUUAGAGAAUUUCGAGACACUCAAGAAGGCAGCAAAGGACCAUGUGUAUGAGGGAUGUAGGAAGGAGUGGACAAUGUUGUGUUUCAUCCUUCAUCUUCUAAUCCUGAAGACUAAAUUCGGCUAGUUAGACAACAGUUCAAUGAUCUCCUUAAUCUACUGGGCAAGUUGCUCUUGAAGCCUAACUUUGUGCCAAAAAACACAUACGAAGCAAAGAAGAUUAUCAAUCAAUUGAAGAUGUGUGUGCAAAGAAUACACGUGUGCAGGAACCACUGCAUAUUGUACUGCGAUGAGUACACGGCAUUAGAAAAGUGUCCAAAUUGCGAUGCUAACCGUUACAAAAGUAAUGCCGAUUUCUGUGAGGACCGUGCCAGUUCUUCCAUUGAGAAUAAGAGGAAGAAGGUUGCAAAGAAAAGUACCGGUGCUCAACUGGAGGAUGAGUCCUGUAUAUAUACUGACAUGAUGACUCAGCGUAGAGUCUCUGCCUUGGUGAUGUGGUACUUGCCGGGGGCGGACCGUCUAAAGCGUUUGUUCUCAAACCCAAAUACCGCUGAAAUGAUGACUUGGCAUGCUAGUCGCCCAGUAAAGGAUGAUGGAAAUCUUUGAUAUCCUUCCUAUGCUCGCUAGUGGAGGACCUUUGAUGCCAAUCAUCCAGAGUUUUUAGAUGAAAAAGGAAUAUACGGUUCGCAUUAGUAUAGACGGCAUAAAUCCGUUUGGUAAAAGAAGCAGCACGCACAACACAUGGCCAGUGCUGAUGACCAUAUACAACCUUCCCCAUGGCUAUGUCACAAGAGAAAGUUCCUUUUGUGUACCAUUGUCAUACAAGGCCUGAAGCAGUCUGGUAUCAACAUAAAUAUUUUCCUUGAGCCAUUGAUAGAAGAUAAGCAGAAGCUUUGAGAAGAUGGGGUUUGGAUGUGGGAUGAGUACAGACAUGAUCACUUCACACUAAGGGCCAUUAUCUUUGUUACCAUCAAUGAUUAUCCCACCCUAUUUGCCCUGAUAGGUCAGGUAAAAGGUAAGACAGCAUGCGUAGUUUGCUUGGAUGGAACAUCAUAUGUGUACCUUAAGAGAUCUAUGAAGAUAGUGUUCAUGAUGCAUAGGUGCUUCUUAUUGAAGACGCACAAAUUUUGUAGGAUGAAGGACUUUUUUGAUGGCACCAAUGAGAAUGACUUUGCUUCAAAACUAGCUACUGGUAAAAUAGUAUUUGAAAUGUGCGAGAAGGUCAAGUUUAAACUCGAUAAGAGUCAUUAGGUGAUUGAUAAUUCGAAAAGGGGAAGGAAGCGGGCUGAAACUAUAGACAUCACAGAUGUGCAGUUUAAGAAGAUGUCUAUCUUAUUUAAGUAUUUGCCAUACUGGCGAGAGCUGGCGAUGCGCCAUGCCAUUGAUGUGAUGCAUCUUCAGAAGAAUGUGUUCGAUAGCACCAUCGGAUUCUUGGGCUUAUCAGGCAAGGCAAAGGACGGACUAAAAUCACGUAAGGAUCUAGUUGGCCUUCAAAUCAGGCUAGAGCUCCACCCGCAAGAACUAUCUAAUGGUAAGCAUUAUCUUCUCCUGGCUAGCUACAACUUAACACCAGAUGAGAGAUUGACUAUGUGCAAGUGCUUGCGCAGGUUGAAAGUGCCGACCGGAUUCUCAUCAAACAUAUGGUCAUUAGUCUCAUUGAAGGACAUGACGCUUGCUGGCUAUAACUCUCAUGAUUGCCAUGUGAUGAUCACAGUUUUUCUCGCUAUUGUGAUCCAAGCUAUCAAACUAGUAUUCAUAAAGAUGGUUAUCACACGGAUGAGUUACUUCUUCAACAUGAUUUGGCAGAAAGUGAUUGAUUGUGUCGAGUUGGUUAGGCUUCAACUUUUUGUGUCGGAAACUUAGGCCCAGCUCGAGAUGUGCUUCCCUCCGUCCUUUUUCGAUAUCAUGGAACAUGGAACAUCUCAUGGUCCGCAUGGUCCAGCAAAUAACUGAACUGGGGCCUAUAUACUUCCAUCAAUGGAUACAUGAGAAACAAGGCCUUUCCAGAGGGCAGCAUGAUCGAGAGCUACCAUACAGAAGAGAGUGUUGAUUGCUGCAUAGAUUACACAAAAGAUAAGAGAUCUUUUGGUUUACCGGAAUCUCAACACGAGGGCAGAUUAUCCGGGAGAGUACCAUUGGAAUGAAAAGAUUCAUAGACAAGGACAAGAAGUAAUUGCAGAAAGCGCAAUCAAACGUUCUACAACAGUUUGCAAUAGUGGAGCCGUUCAUCGAGCAACACCUAAAUGAGGUAUGUGGAUAAACUAAUGGUCGCUAGGAGGAUUGGAUCAUCAAAGAGCAAAAGCGUCAUUUACCAUCAUGGUUGAAGGACCAUGAGCACCUAUUUCAAGGAAAUUCCAUAGAAGAAGUAACAUUGACAAGGCUGGCGUUUGGGCCAUCAAGCAAUGUCACCUCGUGGCAAGCAUAUGAAAUUAAUGGAUACAUAUUUUAUACCACCGCAAAGGACAACAAAAGCAUGGUGUACCAAAAUAGUGGUGUUCGCAUAGAGGCGAUUGAUACAUCUGGACAAAACAUAACUUACUACGGUUUCAUUGAGGAAAUAUGGAAACUUGACUAUGGAGAGAAUAUCUGGAUCCCCGUCUUUCGGUGCCAAUGGGUCAAACACCCUAAUGGUGUUACAGAUGACAAUUAGGAGUUGACACUUGUAGACCUAGCCAAUCUAGGUUACAAAGAUGACCCAUGGGUACCCGCUGAGCGUGUCGCACAGGUAUUCUACAUAACCGACCCUAUGAAUGCAAAGAAGCACAUUGUCAUCUCUGGAUAAUAAAGGUUCCUUGGAGUUGAAGGUAUAGUGGACAAUGAGGAUUACAAUCAGUAUGAGGAUUUGGACAUUUUCAAAGACCAUGAACCAAGAAUCAAGCAUGUUGAAGCAAGCAUUGAUAAGUCCAUGAAGCCAUGGUUACGUACUGACUAUGACUAUGAAGGAAGAAUUGUUAAAGGAUAAAUUAACAUUUCAUAUGAGUUAUGUUGUAAGACUUAUUAAUAGUCUUGUAAGACUUAUUAAUUAUCUUGUAAGACUUAUUAAUAGUCUUGUAAGACUUAUUAAUUAUCUUGUAAGACUUUAUUAAUGUGGAUUAGACUUUAUUAUCUUGUAACUGACUGCCAGCAUAAGAAAAGGGUAGGGGUACAUCUAUGCCAUAAUACAAUAUAACCAGUUUUGAUAAUAAUGCAAGUUAUUACAUCAAUACUUAAAGGUCCUAGAGAGAACAAGUUCAAAUGUAUAAGAAAAGGGUAACAGUACAACCAUGCAUGUUACAUAUUUCAUACUCCGGCUCGCUUCCUUAGAUAUGGAAUAUAGCUAAGGUCUCUAAUCGUCCAGCCAAGAACUUCAUCAAAAUAAGUUUUGAGCACGGAUGAAUGCACUCUCCUUCGCUUCACAUGGACGACCACAUACACUACUAUAAAUGGAGAACAUUGGAGACGUUAACUGAUGUGGCCUAUAGAAAGUGAGAUGAGCCUGGAACUUCAAAUCUAGGGUGAACAUUGGGUCUCCACCCAUGUAAGUUAAAUCAAACUUUUCCAAGGCUUGAUCCAGAAUCACAUGAAAGCUCACUUCCGCAAUGCUAGUACCAUUUAUAUCCUAUAAAAGAUGAUUAUAACAUGAUGAAGUUAAAAGAUGUAACAUAACUGUAGUUAAAAGAAUGAUAAAAGAAUGUUCCAUACCAUGUUAUGAAGCCGAGAAAGUCUCUCAGCAGUCAGAAUCACAUUGCUAGCUCCCUCCUCGAGCCAUGUAAUUCAAAAAUAUGAAAAGUCUGGCACAAAGUACCCAUGAUCCUUAAGCUGCUCUAGGAAGGCCUCCACGAUGGUCCUCUCAACCGUUACCUAGAUGGUGUUGUGCUACCCCAUGCGGCAAUUGAAACCAUUGGGAUGGCCUGUCCUGGUGACAACAAGGUGAAAUCUAGAUGUCGAACAGGUACUUGAAAAGAGAGAUAUUUUCUUUCCAUAUUUGGUUCACCUACGUCCUCGGUUUGCACCACAGGACAAGUACCACCUAAAGCUUUGACAACAUUUUUGAGCCAUCUAAUAUAAUUGAUAAGCUGCAUUGAGGUAAAUUUAGAAUUUAUUCAUGUGUAGUAACAAAAGCAAUUAAAAGAAGGAGAGAAUAUUACUAUGUUGGGAAUUAUUUCUCUGCUUCGAUCAACGAAUGCCAAAUCAAUGGGGCCAUGGAAUUGAAGUCUUGGAAGACUAGCGGGAGUGUCAUCGUGCCCGAAAUGUCACUUGCCACCUCCACGGCUGCCACCACCAUGGGGAAAAGAACUUCCACUUGCCAUAGUUAGCCCAAACUAUCCACAUAAAAUUUACAAAAUGCUCAGAAUAAAAUAUUAUCCAAAAUAAUGGAAGAAAUUUACAAUUGUUGGUUUAGAUCUCAUGAACAUUAUUAUAACUAAUUGUAACAUAUUUAUUAUCAUUUUGCAAUUGCAUGGAAUAAAAAUAGUAAAAGGUAACAACUUUUAAUUUCUCACACAAUCCUUAUGUAAACAAAAUUUACAGUCUAUAUGAAAAAAAAAAUUUAUAGUGGAAGCAAAUAAUUUAUAAACAAUAAUGCAAAACUUAUUUGAACAACAUAUACAUGUAAAUGAUUUACACCACAAGUAGCAAUGUCAAGUUAUAGCAAUUGCAAUGUAAGUAAAAUUCAUAUAAAUAACCAGAUAUAUGCUGAUAGAAUUUCAAUCAAAUAAUCAAAUCCACUUAAACAAAAUGAAAAAAAAUGGAAAAAACAUCAACUAGUCAUGGAGGAGGAUGGCGGCGCUCAGUGGACGCGGCAGAGUCUCGGGCAGGGAGGAGGGGUUGUGGCGCGCGGUGGCAGAUGGGGAGGACGGCAUCCCAGUGGGGAGCACAAUGCCAGGCCAACAGGCAGGCAGGUGGAUGACGCACGGUGGCGACGCUCGAGGAAGAGGAUGGUGGCAUGAGGGGGGCACGACGGAAUCCAGCAGUCUAACGACGUGUGUGGCAAAACCACUGGGAGUUAGAAAAAUUUGGUCCCCGGCUGGGGUUUACUUGUGGACACGUAAGUGCUGGCGGGCGCUAACACCGCUUGCCGACGCUGAGCCUCUGUGUUGGCGGCCCGCAUUAUAGCCCUCCGGCAUAGAAGAGCUGUGCAGGCGGGCUGCAUUAGCGCCCACCAGUGUAGUGGUUUCAAGAAAUUUUCAACUGAUUUAAAUCCUUGAUAAAUAAUUUCAAAAUUGUUUCAAACUUUUACACUUGAAUAGAAAUAUUAUUUAGUGAAUGUAAAAAAUAUAAUUUCAUACAUAACACAAAUGAGAAUGACUAGUUAGUUCAUUUGUCACUGUAGGUUGAAACACCUCAUGAGUUAUAGGGUGCUCAUGACUUGGAUAUCCAUUUGCAAAAGAUGCACUGUUACACUAUCUGAAAAUUGUGUUAAUAUUUUUGGUCCAAGUUGGUUCAUUGCUAAAGUGGUUACAUGCCAAAUAUCAUGAUUGUUCGACAAUUUUAUAUUUUAUAUGGUGAUGCAACUUACUAUCUGGUGGUGCCCAUCUGAUGAUGGGCCUACAGUGAUGCAUUUUAUUUGCAGCGAACGUGGGCAAGAUUGGAACAAGAAGUUAUGCAAGUUGCAUAGCCGCUAUCGUGCGGUACAAGUUUGAUAAAUUCAUGCAUAAUUUUUAAUUACAAGUAUUACAAUUUUGCAUAUUAAAAGCAAUGGACAACAAUGAGAACAAUGCUGAAUCCGCCGAGGAGGAUUCUGCUUCCGAUGAUGAUUGUGGAUCGUAUUCUACUCCACCUGAGUACGAACCAAGCCCACCUAGGACACGCAGGCGUCUAGAUGAAGAUUACCCUGAAUACGAUCCAACCGCGGAUCAUCAGGUACCUACAUGCACAUUCAUAUACUAGCUAGUGAUCCAUUUGUUGUUCAGAUGAAGAUGAUAAACUCCAACUAUUGUUUUCUCUAUAGAACGAUGACUAAUCCCUGGUUCAUUCGCCACCGUGACGACGUAGAACAUCUACUAUGCUUGAAGGCGAGGUAGCUACCUCUGUAUCACAGCAUUCGGCUACAACUGCUUCCAUCAUGAGGAUGCAGCAUUGUUUGAUAAACAUGGCGUGUUGAUGGCGGACGAAUGCAAAGGUCUUCGUAGAUGGACGUAGUAGUUUUAGUAUUAGCGUGGCAAAGAAUAGCUCUAUUCCAAAUGUUGAAUUAUGUGAAUUAUUUAUUAUUCAAGUUUGUUGAAUAAUGUGAAUUAUCUAUUACGUAAGAUGCUUUUUUUAAUAAUGUGAAUUAUUUAUUAUUUAAGUUUGUUGUUAUGUGGUUGGAGAUACAUAUUUAAAUUUUGCAGCCAAAAACUGGCGGAAAUAGAAAUAAUAAAUAAUUCAUGAAAAAUAACAUAUUGAAUGAAAAAAUACAUAAUUCAUUGCCACCCGCCAGGACAGAAAUCUCAUGUGCUGACGGGUGAUUUAACCACCUGCAAGCAUAGAAACCAUAUGUGCUGGUGGUGAUGUAAGCACCUCCCAGCACAGAAAGCAUUUGUGCUGGGUGGCUAACAUCGCGCAACAGCACAGACACAAUUUGUGCUGGUUCAAGGUUGCUGGUAGGUGCUCGGCCCGCCAGCACAGACCAUUUUUACCGAUCAGCACGGAUAUUUGGUGACCUAGUGGUGAUGAUGCCAUUUAUAUGGACCAAAUGCAGCAAUAUUCGAAUUCACAAUUAUGCAAUUCGCAGGUAGCCAGGUCGAUUGGCCUCACGCAAUACCUAGUUGACUUGAGAACAUGAAUGAAUAUACAAUUUAGCAUGUGCUCCCGUUAUUCCUGGAUCCUGAUAAGGACGGCGACGGAACAGAAACUAUACUUAUUUUAUACCUAGUUGACUUGAGAACAUGAAUGAAUAUCCGGUGAUGCAACUUACAAUACGGUGGUGCCCAUCUGAUGAUGGGUCUGCUGUGAUGCAUUUUAUUUGCUGUGAUGCAUUUUAUUUGCAGCGAACGUGGGCAAGAUUGGAACACGAAGUUAUGCAAGUUGCAUGGCCCCUGUUGUGCACUACAAGUUUGGUGUACAAAUAUUUAUUGAUAUGCAUAAAUUUAUGCAUAAUUUUUAAUUGCAAGUAUUAUAAUUUUGCAUAUUAAGAGCGAUGGACAACAAUGAAAACAAUGCUGAAUCCGUCGAGGAGGAUUCCGAUUCCGACAAUGAUUGUGGAUCGUAUUCUGCUCCACCUGAGUACGAACCAAGCCCACCUAGGAUAUGCAGGCGUCUAGAUGAAGAUGACCCUGAAUACGAUCCAACCACAGAUCAUCAGGUACCUGCAUGCAUAUUCAUAUACUAGCUAGUGAUGCGUUUGUUGUUCAGAUGAAGAUGAUAAACUCCAACUAUUGUUUUCUCUAUAGAACGAUGACCAAUCCCCGGUUCAUUCACCACCACGACGUCGUAGAACAUCUACUGUGCUUGAAGGCUAGGUAGCUACCCCUGUACCACAACAUUCGGCUACAACUGCUUCCACUAGCAAUCCGAAAAGGCAACGUGGGAAAAGAAGCAGAAACCAGAUCCCUGAAAAAAAUUCAUCCAACGCGAGAUUUGUCAUGAGGAUGGAGCAUUGUUUGAUAAAUAUGGUGUGUUGAUGGCGGGAGAAUGCAAAGGUCUUCGUAGAUGGAUGUAGUAGUUUUAGUAUUAGCGUGGCAAAAAAUAGCUCUAUUCCAAAUGUUGAAUUAUGUGAAUUAUUUAUUAUUCAAGUUUGUUCAAUAAUGUGAAUUAUCUAUUACGUACGAUGCAGUUUUUAAUAAUAUGAAUUAUUUAUUAUUUAAGUUUGUUGUUAGGUGGUUGGACAUACAUAUUUAAAUUUUGCAGCAAAAAACUAGCGAAAAUAAAAAUAAUAAAUAAUUCAUGAAAAAUAAUAUAUUGAAUGGAAAAAUACAUAUUCCUGGCGGGUGGCAUAAGUACCCGCCAAUACAAAAAUUUCAUGUGCUGGCGGGUGAUGUAACCACCCGCAAACACAGAAACUAUUUGUGCUGGCAGUCAUGGCAGGCCAGGCACGGUCCUAACACACGAGGUGGGACUCAGGACAAGACCUCACGGCGUUGGGCGGCCGUGAGGGCGCCCAACAGGUCGGGGAAAGUAGCAUGGAUCAACCCGGCUCCUGGUCAGAGCUCGCCAACCCACUCCAGGUGCGUCAACAAUAGUGUAUGUCCCGUUCUGUGCCACGGAAUCGACGGACGGGACGGAGGCAUGCCCCGGGGCAGACCACGACGCGCGUAAGCUCUUCAUGCCACACAGGGGCUGCCACACCAACUGUACAAACCCCAAGACCGAUGAGGAGAAUAGGACUAGAGGGUCCCACAUGAAGGGCCCCACGUCACCAGCUCAAGCCUUGCUGCACCAACAUGCCUACGUCUCCCGACCUCCGUGAACUGUCGCCCGGUCCCUAGCCUAGCCAGGCCUUCUAUCUCCCUCUCUGGCUUCCACAACCAACACACGCGCACACGCGCACUCAUUCUAUAACAUCUCAAUUUUCAUUUACAUUUAAAAUUUGGACCCAAAAAAUGUUUUAUUAAAAUUUCUCUAGCAAUUUAAACCAUAGAGCCUUGCGUUUGAAUCAUGCAUCAAAAUAUAGUUUUUCAUGAACAUAUAUGCAUAUGUUUGAGUUAACUAUUCCCUCUGUUCCAAAGUGUUCCACGUUAAUAUUCCUUUCAAACCCUUACACCAAAAUAUAUUCAAAUUUGAAAUUGCAUUUCAUAUUUGAACAUAAACACUUCACUAACUAAAAGAAAAAAAACAUUUAAACCUACUUGGACCAGCAACCUCGGAACCAGUCCCCUUUCUCCUUUUCGGCCCGGCCUAUCUCGCCCCUUCUCCUUCUCACGCGCGGGCCUAUCUUGCCCCUUCUCCUUCUCACGCACGCCACAGGUCGGCCCAAUAGCCAGCCCAGCUAUGCGGCCCGGUCCACUGCCCCGUCAUCUUCCACCUCCUGUUCAUCCCCCUUCCUCCCCUCCACCCGCGACGCCGCCGCAUGCCCGCGUGGCUAUAACCAGUCCGCGCCCCUAGCCACCCCUGCUGCCUCCUGACAUGCGCGCCGCCAUCGCCCACACCUCCGCCACGCUCUGCGCCACUCGAGGCUCCCUCUCCUUCCCAGGAACCCACCCCCUCACACGUACUCGCACAUGCACCGGAGCACGGCCGCCGACCACCUCACCUUGAUCUCCCUCAUCCUCGCCAGAUUUGCCUCCACGACGAGUGCGCCAUAGCCGCCUGCGCUAGGCGCAUUUAUUACGCCCUCAUCCCCCUGCCCAAGCCUCCUCCCCAACCUUAUCCGCCUCCAUCGCCGGUGCCGCGCGCGUCACCACCACCAUUGCGCCGGAGCCACUUAUCCCUGGUCGGGAUAAGCUUGCCCCUGCCCGCUCGAGCUCCCCAGCCACCCCGGCCGCCUAUAAAUCGCCUCCCCGCGCUCCCUUACCUCCUCGCACCACCUCUCCACUUCACCUCACCUCGCCGGAAUAGGACCCCAAGCCGUGCCCCCUCAUAGUGCACUCGAUCCAAGGAACACGACUCCUGCUGAAACUGAACGUAGGGAUUUUCCUGAACCAAUAUAAAUCCUUUGUUCUUGUGUACUAACCAUCGGAAGUGAGGAGAGCGCGACGUAUAAUCACUAGUUGGUGGUAUAAAACACCGACACUUACCCAUAAGCUUGUGUAACUCCCUGCAGAGUGGAGAACAAAGGAACGGAAGGAACGAUGAUUGAAAAUGCGGCUGAAUUGGGUAGCAUGCCAGAACCAAUAAUCUUAUGCGGUAGUCCAAAUGCUUAUUCCUUGAGGAUCUGCUUGCCAGAAAAGCUUCAUUCCUUGUCAACAUGCCCAUGGUUCAUGAACCCAAUGAUAAUGCAAGUAUGAAACUGUAACUGACUGGAUCUUUCUUCUAGUUGCAGAACACGACGUCUCGCCAGGGAAUUUCGUCAAACACCGUGCGAGCAGUCGAGCAGAGCGCAUGUCCCCGGAGUUGGCACAGGCAGUGAUGACAGAUGAGCCCAUUGGACACGAACAGAUCGGCCCCACGUAGGAUCGCAACAGCGUGGAACUCCCCGGCGACGAGUCCGGACAGCCACGGCCUGGACGCCGCGAGCGAGUUGAGGAGCGCGAAGAGCGUGAUCUCAUCCGGGGAGAUGCCGGAGGCCGCGAAGAAGCGGACCCCAGCUGAUGACUCGACGGGAAAUAGCAGAACGUCCGAACAGAGGGGAUCGGGAUAAGGAUCAACGGUGAAUCCAGAUGGACCAUGAGGUGGGCGGGCAUGGGCUGGGCGCACUAUAGGACCAAGCCCAUCCAGGACCAGAUGGAAAUCAAUUAAGAAAUUUAUUAAUUAAAUGGCGGGCUGCUUUAAGAUUCGUUCAAGAAGUAAAAAAAAAGGAGUAUCGAAGCAGUUCUCAAACAUAUUGGCCAUCAUCGGCCGCCACUACCCUCUUCCAAUGCACGGGUGCUCGUUGAUUAGAAGUUCAGUAAUAAUAUUUGUUGUUUGGUAUGCACAUUACAUACAGAAGUUAAAAAUCAGCAAAACCUCUGACAUCGAUCGAUCUCAUAUGAGUGCCCUAUGCAAUUAACCCAGCAUAGGAUAGAAUUACAUUCGAUCGAUCUCAUAUUAUUGUGGUGCAGCCAGUGUAGCAGGUCGCUCCAUGUAUGACCUUAGCCUCGCAGAGCUCCUUCGUUGGCCACACGACGGUGGAGAUGCUCCUGCAGGUGGCUUGAGCGAAGAGCCUGCACGCCGUGCCACAGUCCUCGAGACAACCCUGCAUCGUGUCCGCCAUCGCUGGCAGACCAACAGACAUCAGAAGCAGCGCCACGCAGAUGCUGGCGCUGACGACAGCGCCCAUUUUAACAAGCGGUG